UACGGGGGGGGGCAAGCGUUGUUCGGAAUUACUGGGCGUAAAGGGUUCGUAGGUGGCCUGCUAAGUCAAACGUGAAAUCCCCUCAGCUUAACUGGGGAACUGCGUCUGAGACUGGUGGGCUUGAGUGCAGGAGAGGAACGCGGAAUUCCAGGUGUAGCGGUGAAAUGCGUAGAUAUCUGGAGGAACACCGGUGGCGAAGGCGGCGA
rnacentral:rRNA from 1 species